rnacentral:sRNA from 1 species
GUGGCUACGGGCAUCAUGGAUACCAAUAAUUCGUACAGGAAGUAUCUGCUUAGCCUUAAAGAAUCUCAACGGCUGUUUGCGAUCCUUGAUGGCUUCCCAACUAUCGAAUACUUCUGAAACAUCAAUCCGCCCUUGAAUGUUUUCCGCAAGUUGAACAUUUAUCUGCGUUUCCUUAAUGGAGACAACCUUCGCCUUGGUGAUUCUACCAAAGGUCAAAUCGUCCAAAGAUUUUAUGUCUCCGUCGAUGGGAUUAAUAGACGACUGAUUAGCAUUAUCGGACUCCUUAUCACGAUCAGAUACACGUUGCUUGCCUGUAUGUGGCUCCUUUAAUGUUAAAAUAAACCUUUGGCGGUCGUCUUCGAUAGACUGUACAGUUAAGGAUAUAGGUUGUGCUAGAGCGUAUCCAAAGCUAGGUUUAUUUACGUGGUCAUCGUCGACAAGACGUUUUGGGACAAAUCCGGUGAGGCCUCCCAGGAAUUCCACAAACAAACCAUCCGCAAUGAUGUUCUUCACGAAUCCGGUCACCUUGGAGCCUUCCUCAAGAUCCUCAAAUUUGGCAGCAACCAACCCAGAGUCCUCCAGCUUUAGCAGUAUAUCUUCAUUGGAUUUUUCAAAUACAGUGCCUGAAACAGUGUUCCCGGGGUGGAUAUGCUCAAGCGCGCGCUUGUAAGCUUCUGUGGAGGACAACUGGUCCUUGCAGGAGACUACCAGUUUUCGCAACUCUGCGUCAACAUUUAGCGCAUGCACAUUCACAACUUGUCCAAUAUUGAAAUGUUGAGCGGGGUCCUUGAUAUAAGCUUCACUCAUUUCCGAAACCGGGAGAAAUCCUCGAACUUCGCCAUAAAACUGAACAAUUGCUCCAUGAGACUGAAUGCUGAUGAUGGUUCCGGGUGAUUGGUUCCCUGGAAGGAUGUCGCUAUAAUCACACCAGGUGGAGGAUUCGCUAUUUAACAACGUCUUUUUCAACGUAAGUCGUAACUGGCGUUUCUCCAAAUUCACGGAAAGGAUCCUAGCGGAAACCUGUACUCCUUCACGGAACUUCUUUUCUGGAUGCUGCAGUUUAGUAUCGGACAUAUGCAUUCCUGGAACCAACCCGGAAAUUCCAUCCGCGAGAGAAACAAUGAGUCCGCUGAUACCAUCAGGUCCAAUGAGGAGUUUCUCGAUCUUUCCCUUGACCACCGCGCCAACUGUAACGUCCUCGAGACGAAGGAAAGGUUGGUCGAUGACCUUUCUUUCGAGAGAUAGUAGAUAGAGGUUAUCCAGUGCGCUGAAGCCAACUAUUCUUGCUUCAUGGGUAGAAUCGACCAUAUAAGGACCCUGCGUAGAAGAUAUGCUAUCGACCUUGUCAUCGGAGAGCCUGGAAAUAUGGACAAAUCCAUAAUGCUUGUCAUUGAAUUGAACGUAGACUCCCAACCCAGGCUCAACUUUAGUGACUUUUACUUCAGGCACAAUGGCAGAUAUAGCAGGGACACCCUCACAGCUAGAUUUGUGGUCUAGAACUGUUGGCGUAAACU